rnacentral:snoRNA from 1 species
UCUACCCCAAAAGGCUUUACAUGUGUAGCUGCUAUGUCAGUGUGCAUCAAUAGGUGACAGAGAGGAGAGAGACUGUGUCUAUGCUCAGUGUCCUGACCUA